GGGCGGGCGGCGAGCGAGGCGCUCAAAGUCAGCCUCGCAGACAUUGCAGCAGAGCCCCGAACUCGGGAGGCGGCGGCGGAGGAGGCGGCGGCGAGGCGCAGGGACGAUCCGGCCCCACGCCCGCCCGCCACCCGCGCGCGCCCGUCCGCCCGUGGCCUCGCGUCCGCCGCUGCGCCGGGAGCGCCGCUGGUCGGAGGGAAGAGCUCGCCGGGGUGCCGGGCCAGGACGGGGCGGCAGGCGCCUUCGCGGACCGAGCCUGACAGAGCCGGAGGCUGGGAGCCGCGGCGGCCUGGGGAAGUGUUUGGAUUGUGAGCUAUUUCAGAACUCUGUUCUCAGGACUCAUUAUUUUAACAUUUGGGAGAAACACGGCCAGAAGAACACUGAUAUUUGCAUUCAAUGGGGAACAAACGAUGAAGAAGGAAAAGGAAUAUAUUCACUAAGGAUUCUAUCUGCGUACUGCUACAGACCUGUGUUUUAAGGAAUUCUCCUCCUUCUUGCAUAGAAGUUGAUCAGCUCUGUGGUCAGACUCAUUUAUCUUGUCAUUGCCAGAAGAAAUCCUGGACAGAAUGUAACAGUACGUCUCUCUCUGAUUGCUAUGGAAGGUGAAAAACUGAUACUCACUUAUUAAAGUUACGUCUCACUCACCACAGAAAACCAUUCUUUAAAGUGAAUAGAAACCAAGCCCU
rnacentral:lncRNA from 1 species